UUGAUCCUGGCUCAGGACGAACGCUGGCGGCGUGCCUAACACAUGCAAGUCGAACGGGGACUGUCUAAAGCUUGCUUUAGGCAGUUCUAGUGGCGGACGGGUGAGUAACGCGUGAGGAACCUGCCUUUCAGAGGGGGAUAACGUCUGGAAACGGACGCUAAUACCGCAUGACAUUUUAGAGUCACAUGGCUUUAGAAUCAAAGGAGCAAUCCGCUGGAAGAUGGACUCGCGUCCGAUUAGCCAGUUGGUGAGGUAACGGCCCACCAAAGCGACGAUCGGUAGCCGGACUGAGAGGUUGAACGGCCACAUUGGGACUGAGACACGGCCCAGACUCCUACGGGAGGCAGCAGUGGGGGAUAUUGACAAUGUGGGGGAGAAUUCUUUUAUGAGACGAGCAACCCCGCUUGAGAAGACGUUUCUUGCGGGAUUGUAAACCUUUUGUCCUUGGUGAAGAUAAUGACGGUAGCCGGAGGGAGGAGCUCCGGCUAACUACGUGCCAGCAGCCGCGGUUAAUACGUAGGGAGCAAGCGUUGUCCGGAUUUACUGGGUGUAAAGGGUGCGUAGGCGGCUCUGCAAGUCAGGUGUGAAAACCAUCGGCUCAACUGAUGGACUGCAUUUGAAACUGUGGGGCUUGAGUGAAGUAGAGGCAGGUGGAAUUCCCGGUGUAGCGGUGGAAUGCGUAGAGAUCGGGAGGAACACCAGUGGCGAAGGCGGCUGCUGGGCUUUAACUGACGCUGAGGCACGAAAGCAUGGGUAGCAAACAGGAUUAGAUACCCUGGUAGUCCAUGCUGUAAACGAUGAUUACUAGGGGUGGGGGUGGUCUGACCCCAUCCGGUGCCGGAGUUAACACAAUAAGUAAUCCACCCUGGGGAGUACGACCGCAAGGUUGAAACUCAAAGGAAUUGACGGGGGCCCGCACAAGCAGUGGAGUAUGUGGUUUAAUUCGAAGCAACGCGAAGAACCUUACCAGGUCUUGACAUCCAACUAACGAAGCAGAGAUGCAUAGGUGCCCUUCGGGGAAAGUUGAACAGGUGUGUGCAUGGUUGUCGUCACUCGUGUCGUGGAGAUGUUGGGUUAAGUCCCGCAACGAGCGCAACCCUUGUGUAUUAGUUGUCUACGCAGAGAGCACCUAUCAGACUGGCCGUUGACAAAACGGAGGAAGGUGGGGACGACGUCAAAUCAUCAUGCCCCUUAUGACCUGGGCUACACACGUACUACAAUGGCCGCUCACAGAGGGAAGCAAGACCGCGAGGUGGAGCAAACCCCUAAAAACGGUCUCAGUUCGGAUCGCAGGCUGCAACCCGCCUGCGUGAAGCUGGAAUUGCUAGUAAUCGCGGAUCAUCAUGCCGCGGUGAAUACGUUCCCGGGCCUUGUACACACCGCCCGUCACACCA
rnacentral:rRNA from 1 species